ACGAACGCUGGCGGCGUGCUUAACCCCUGCAAGUCGAACGGAAAGGCCCUGCUUUUGUGGGGUGCUCGAGUGGCGAACGGGUGAGAAACACGUGAGUAACCUGCCCUUGACUUUGGGAUAACUUCAGGAAACUGGGGCUAAUACCGGAUAGGAGCUCCUGCUGCAUGGUGGGGGUUGGAAAGUUUCGGCGGUUGGGGAUGGACUCGCGGCUUAUCAGCUUGUUGGUGGGGUAGUGGCUUACCAAGGCUUUGACGGGUAGCCGGCCUGAGAGGGUGACCGGCCACAUUGGGACUGAGAUACGGCCCAGACUCCUACGGGAGGCAGCAGUGGGGAAUAUUGCACAAUGGGCGGAAGCCUGAUGCAGCAACGCCGCGUGCGGGAUGACGGCCUUCGGGUUGUAAACCGCUUUCGCCUGUGACGAAGCGUGAGUGACGGUAAUGGGUAAAGAAGCACCGGCUAACUACGUG
rnacentral:rRNA from 1 species